GACGAGCCACACAAACGUUAUUCGGAAUUACUGGGCUUAAAGGGUGCGUAGGCGGCCUGGCAAGUGGAGGGUGAAAUCCCUCGGCUUAACCGAGGAACUGCCCUCCAAACUGCUUGGCUUGAGUCCGGGAGAGGUGAGUGGAAUUCCCAGUGUAGCGGUGAAAUGCGUAGAUAUUGGGAGGAACACCAGUGGCGAAGGCGGCUCACUGGACCGGAACUGACGCUGAGGCGCGAAAGCGUGGGGAGCAAACGGG
rnacentral:rRNA from 1 species